CAGGAGAGCUAACAGUUUCUUUCUUUGACUUUUUAUUCUCUUUAUCUUUUUCAUUUUCGUCAAGCGAGUGUUUAGUGGGACCAGCAGGUGUAUUUUGAUUAUCAGUGUUUGGUGAAAGCUCUUUUGAGUUGACAGCAUUUCCGUUCAUCUUAGCUUUUUUUAGCUCUUUCUUUGUUGGACGAUACAGACCUUUUUGAUAGCGUUGAGCUUCUGUCAUACAGCUAGUAUGGUUUCUGUAAUCGGUCCUUUCAAAAGUCGUAUUGCAGUCUAUACAAGUAAAGUAUGCGCCAUGGCAACGAGAGCGAU